CUCGUUUUGUUGAUUCAUAUGGACUUGGGGUUUGGACUAGGGUAAUCGGAGCGACACGUCGGAGAAAGGCGUGGUGAGUGGGGUCUACCUCUGGAAGAAGGAUUCUGACGUAGACGUCAGCGUGGCACUUCUAUUCAUUCCUCCAUUGCUGUCUACGGUUGCCUUGUGUUUAUAAUGUGUUUGGGUUUCUGCACGAUUUUCAAUCCGAUUUGGGGUUUUCAUUUUUGUUAAGUGUUAACCCUUCACUCUCUCUCUCGUUGCCCCCAAUCCAAUCCAAUGUCUAUCCCCGAUUCUCCCCAAGGCGCCGAUACCGAUUCCGAUCCAUCUCUCGUAGAAGAAAUAGAGGAGGAAGUAGAAGAAGAAGAAGAAGAAGAGGAAGAAGAAGAAGAGGUCGAGGAGGAAGUAGAAGAAGAAGAAGAAGAAGAGGGGGGGGAGGAGGAGGAGGAGGAGGUUGAGGAGGAAGUAGAAGAAGAAGAAGAGGUCGAGGAGGAAGUAGAAGAGGAGGAGGUUGAGGAAGAAGUAGAAGAGGUUGAAGAAGAAGUGGAAGAGGAAGAAGAAGAGGGAGAACAAGGAGAAGAACAGGAAGUAGAAGAAGUCGAAGAGGAGGAAGAAGAAGAAGACGAUGAACAACAACAACAACAACAACCACAGCAACAAGAAGCAGUAGAGGAGAAGGAGGAUGAUCAAUUACUGCAACAAGAACAAGAGCAAACAGCAGUGAAGGAGAAGGAGGAAGAACAACCGCUACAUCAACUACAACCGGAAUCGGUGGAGACGAAGGAGGAGGGCAAAACGGUGGUGCCAGAUUCUCCUCCCGAUGCCGAUAAGGAUCGCAAAGAUUCAAGCCAGCAUAUAGAGUCUGAGGGGCAAGAGAAAAGCCUGGAGCCAGUUUUUUCCGUGGCUGAAAAUCUUGAAUUAAUGCCACCAUCUAGUAUGCAUUGCAUGGAAGAGAAUGAUGUCAUACUCAAAACAUCUGUUCCUUCAUUUGAGAUGCUAACAUUGAAAAAGGAAGAGCUUCACUUGAAAUCUGAAAUUUCAUGUAAUUUAAAAUCAAGAGAAAAUCUGACUUCUGUUGAAGAUAGCAAAAGUCAUGGACUAGAUGUUGUUGAAGAAAAUGUUGGAUCCCUUCUACAGAAGGAAACAUUUGGAGGAUACAAUGAGCCAGGUUACAAUAGCAAAGCUAAUUUAUGUGGUGAUACUGAUAUUGAUUCUACGGCCAGGGCCACCGAAUCAUCUAGUGGUACUGGACAAGAUAUGGUUAUUGGCCUCCUACGGAGAGAUUGCCUUGAUGAGGAUGCUAAUGGUGGUCAGAAUUCUAGGAAUAAAAUCACGCAGUUGGAGAUGGAGUCAAGGGAUGAUGUGAAACAAAUGACAUUAAGGACUAGAAGUCUGUCUCCAAGUGCUGAGAUUAAAGACAGAAACAAACGCCCCAGAAUUGUAUGUGAUUUUUUUGCUAAAGGAUGGUGUAUCCGAGGUAGUUCUUGUAGCUUUCUUCAUAUAAAAGAUACUGUGAACAAUACUGACCAGGAGGCUGAAGCAGACUUAGUUACUGCACAUCAGAAGAGGGAAUUGAAAGUGGAAGAAGGUGUUAGGGAAAAUGUUGAGAGAUUAAGGAUGAAUGAGCAAGAAGCAAGUCCUAGUUGGCAUCCAUCUCAAGAAAAACAGAAGUUUCAUCUGAGGGACAACUUGUUUCCAGAGAAUAGAUUUGCAUUUAGUGCAUCAAACAAUUAUUUCAGCCCAAAUCUUCCCUUGAAUUCUACCCGUGCUGAUGGAAUGACUACUUUUUGGAACCAACAUAUGUACAAAGGAUAUACUUCAACAGUUUUGAGCCAUUCACCAAAUUCAAGCCUGGUUACUCAAUUUCCAGCCUCAAGCAUGUCACUCUCCCACCAGAUUCCGGCCCAAUCAGGACGGUCAUUUCCUUUUAGUUCAUCUUUGGGGGCUGGUAAUAUGGAUUCUCAAAAGCUUUUGAAAACUAACAAAGAAUAUCUCACCUCUAAGUCCACUUUCUCUGGUUCAGGGCAGGAAGAUUUGCCUCUGGUUAGUUCAUCUAGGGUUUCAUCAUUUCCUACUGGAUAUAAAUCAAAAAUCUGUUCUUAUGACUGGGAACCUUCUGUGCCCUUUCGACCAUCCUUUUUUAUUACUUCUAUGAAUGUAUCAUCUCCUGGAGAUCUUUAUGACCCUCUUCGUGAUAGCAUUGAGAUACCCAAUAUAGGAGAUGGAUCUUUGAAGGCUUCCCUUUUAAUUCAUGGAUCAAAUGCACAGGCUUCAUCACAGGUUCGGGCAUAUGGUGAUUCUGAUGUAGUUGGGAAACACACGUCCAAUCUUAAUGAUGCCAAAAGUUCUGUAUCUUCUCAUAACAAAUUUUGUGAAAAUGAGACACAUAAAAAUUGUGAUCCUCAUGAAAAGGAUUGUUUUGCACCUGAAACAGAGAUAACAUCAGGUACUUACCUAAAUAAUCAAAAUGGUAAAAUGGGCACGGGACAACAUAACUUUGGUGUUGCAGAUAGUACAAAGAAAGAGAGACAUUUGACUGAGCGUGAGGCUAGACAUUAUGGUGGUGAAGGAUCGAGACACAAAAAGAAGAGAAUAGGUAAGGAUAAGAAAGAUCAUGAAAUGGAUGUUGACUUUCAGACAGAUGGCAGCAUGCAGAAGGAACCAAAGGCACUAAAAAUAUUCCGUGCAGCUCUUGUUGAUCAUGUAAAAGAGUUGUUAAAACCAGCUUGGCACGAGGGUCGUCUCAGCAAGGAUGCACAUAUUAUGAUAGUCAAAAAAUCAGUUGACAAGGUUGUUAGCACCUUAGAUCCACAGCAGAUUCCGACCAUAGAUACUGCUAAGCAGUAUGUUUCUUCAAGUCGGGUGAAAAUUGCAAAGCUGGUCAAUGGAUAUGUCAAUAAAUAUGGCAAAUCUUGAUAUUCAAGCCAAACUCCUUUUUUGUACAGUUUCUGAUCAGUUGGAUCAUCCUAGUUCUCAUGAAAAGUUCUGUCUGAGGCUCUCUUUUUCAUAAAGAAGCUUCUUGUCUUUAUGGAUGACAUAAUUACUCUUCAACCAUGGAUUAUGCUAAUGUCAGGAGAAAUUCAGAACUUUAUUCAGUAAGUAAUGAUCUCGAGGAAUUGGGUGGUUUUGUGAUCAGAGACUGAUUUGUUUGCAUGGAAAGUGCUUGUGGUCGAAGUUGACCAUUGGAAAUAAGCUGGUCAGCAGAAGUGAUCUUGAUUGUAUUGACAACAGAAUUGAAGUUUGCAUUAGUACUGGUAAAUUCAAAUUCUGGGUCAUACUUGCUUACCUGGUAUUGUUUAGCCCGGUUAGGAGAAGGGGACUUAGGUUGCUGCUCUUGAAUAGAAACAAGGUCACUAAAAGAGAGUGAAUCCAGUGCAGUGCUAUUAUCCGAAGCAUGCGAGGUGAGCUUGUUUCCGUCCAUUGAUUAUAAACCAAAAUGGUUAUGGGUUGAAAACUAUAUAUAUCCAGAGAUUCGCUAGACGUUGGGACCACUUUUUAAUUCAGUGUGAAUGUGUUUUGCCGAGUCGAAGUUGUUAUUUUGGUUUUAUAUCUUUCUUUUUAUUGUCCGCUUUGUGGCAGGAGGGGGUAGGCCAAUACGUAUAUUUAAUUUUAGGGGCAAGUGUUGAAAAGUAACAUGUUAGAUCAAGAAAAAAUGACAAAUAAUAAUUGGUGAACCGAGAUAAAGUUACACAUGGGACAUAACUUGUACAUUAUCAUUUAUGAAUUUUCUUUGAUGCCAUUGUGUUAUUAACUUUUCGGCCUCCCAAGUUUAAGUAGCGAAUUGAACCGAGUUUGUGUAUGAAGUUUGUCAUCUUUAGUCCGAGGUUUGACAACGUCUUCCGUUUGGCCCAUAUGUUCAUUGAGGAGUCUGCGUGUUGGUGGAUAUUACGAAGGUAGAGAGUAUAUGUAUAUAUAUUCUCUUUCUGAAGGUCAUUGUCAAAUCUCAAUCAGCUUAUAUGACACCACCUAUGUAGCUUGCUCAAGUGGCUGAUUCUACGAGGAUGGCAAGUGCUGGUAGAUGAAGAGUGGGCAAGUAAUUUGUUAUUUCUUUGCUGUGAAAUCAUCAUAUUUAAUACGUCUCCCUGUCGUUUUCUAUGUUCUGGUUUUUACGUAAACGUGUAGUUACAUUACCGACGUGCGACGUGGUCAUUGAAAUGCUAUGUUAAUUUUCAUUUUGUAAAAAGUAUAUAUUUGCUUUCUUGAA